UUAUCUUUUUAUCUUUUUAGAUUCGUUAUAAUGCCUCAGCAAGAUUGUCAGCAUAGGCGCAAGCAAGCAAUCCAGCAGAUAAAAUAGUAUCGUGCGCCCCUGGCUUUACACUCACAAUGCUCAAAAAAUGCCUAGAAUGCCUAGUAAUGCCUGAAAUUUGUACACCACAAUGUCCUCAGCAGCCUCGAUCGGGACAUACCGAACUGUUAGACUUAUUUAUGGAUAAUGUACGGGGUGUUUGCAGUUACAAAUAAAAUCAAGACGAAUCAGGAAUAAGACGCGUAAACACAUAUGUAUAUCACAAGUUCAUAACUUCAAUUAAUAUUCUGAGUUAGUAUUAUGAAACAUUACUAUAGUAAAACUAAGACAAUUUCGUACUUUAUAUAAAUAGAAACGUAUCUUCCCUUCCAGCAGGAGUGUCACAUCCAUUUACAGUGUAUAAACAUAAAGAAUCUUUUACUAUA